UACAGAGGUCUCAAGCGUUGUUCGGAUUCAUUGGGCGUAAAGGGUGCGUAGGCGGCGCGGUAAGUCGGGUGUGAAAUCUCGGAGCUUAACUCCGAAACUGCAUUCGAUACUGCCGUGCUUGAGGACUGGAGAGAGACUGGAAUUUACGGUGUAGCGGUGAAAUGCGUAGAGAAUGUGGAGGAACACCAGUGGCGAAGGCGACUCUUUGGCCUAUAACUGACGUGAGGCGACGAAAGCGUGGGGAGCAAACAGG
rnacentral:rRNA from 1 species